rnacentral:misc_RNA from 1 species
GCCACUGACACUGGAGCGACUGCUACUGACACUGGAGCUACUGCCACUGACACUGGUGCUACCGACACCGGUACUGCUACUGACACUGGUGCUACCGACACCGGUACUGCUACCGACACUGGUGCCACCGACACCGGUACUGCUACCGACACUGGAGCUACUGCCACUGACACUGGUGCUACCGACACCGGUACUGCUACUGACACUGGUGCUACCGACACCGGUACUGCCACUGACACUGGAGCGACUGCUACCGACACUGGAGCUACUGCCACUGACACUGGUGCUACCGACACCGGUACUGCUACCGACACUGGUGCUACCGACACCGGUACUGCUACCGACACUGGUGCUACUGCUACUGACACUGGAGCUACUGCCACUGACACUGGAGCUACCGACACCGGUACUGCUACCGACACUGGUGCCACCGACACCGGUACUGCUACCGACACUGGUGCUACUGCCACUGACACUGGUGCUACCGACACCGGUACUGCUACCGACACUGGUGCUACUGCCACUGACACUGGAGCUACUGCCACCGACACUGGAGCUACCGACACUGGUACUGCUACCGACACUGGUGCCACCGACACCGGUACUGCUACCGACACUGGAGCUACUGCCACUGACACUGGAGCUACUGCUACCGACACUGGAGCUACUGCUACCGACACUGGUGUGUCUGGCACGGUUACUUCGUCAAUCCCUGAUGGUACUAACACCAAUGCUCCCACGUCGAUUCAGUCCGGUGACACCUCGGACUCUCUAUCUUCAACUCCUCUCACGUCUUCCACGAAUGGCGGUGGUAAUGUUGGUACUCCCACAACUGCUUCUCCUACUUCUUCUACUUCCACUUCUGGAAACGGCGGCAACGGCGAUGGCGGAAGUGGAUCUGGAGGUGAUGGUGACGGAAACGGUGGUGACGGCUCUGGUUCUGGAGGAGAUGGUUCUUCCGGCAACGGCGGUGACGGCUCUGGAUCUGGAUCUGGAGGAGAUGGUUCUUCCGGCAACGGCGGUGACGGCUCUGGAUCUGGCUCUGGAGGAGAUGGUUCUUCCGGCAACGGCGGUGACGGCUCUGGAUCUGGCUCUGGAGGAGAUGGUUCUUCCGGCAACGGCGGUGACGGCUCUGGAUCUGGAUCUGGAGGAGAUGGCACUUCCGGUAACGGCUCUGGCUCUGGAUCUGGCUCUGGAGGAGAUGGUUCUUCCGGCAACGGCUCUGGCUCUGGAUCUGGAGGAGAUGGCACUUCUGGUAACGGCUCUGGCUCUGGAUCUGGAGGAGAUGGUACUUCUGGUAACGGCUCUGGAUCUGGCUCUGGUGGAGAUGGUUCUUCCAGUAACGGCUCUGGAUCUGGAGGUGAUGGUACUUCUGGCUCUGGUUCUGGUUCUGGCUCUGGUUCUGGCUCUGGCUCUGGCUCUGGAUCUGGUGAUGGUACUUCUGGCUCUGGCUCUGGAUCUUCUGGAGGAAACGGAGGCUCAGGAUCUGGCUCAGGCUCUGAUUCUGGCUCUGGCUCAGGAUCCGGUUCUGGCUCUGGCUCUGGCUCUGAUUCUGGCUCUGGCUCAGGAUCUGGUUCUGGCUCUGGCUCUGAUUCCGGCUCUGGUUCCGGCUCUGGUUCCGGCUCCGGUUCUGGAUCUGGCUCAGGCUCUGAUUCCGGCUCAGGCUCAGGAUCCGGCUCAGGCUCUGGCUCAGGCUCAGGAUCCGAUUCCGGUUCCGGCUCUGGUUCCGGCUCUGGAUCUGACUCCGGUUCCGGCUCUGGAUCUGGCUCUGGUUCCGACUCCGGCUCUGGAUCCGGCUCAGGCUCAGGAUCCGGCUCAGGCUCUGAUUCAGGCUCAGGCUCUGGAUCUGGCUCAGGCUCUGGAUCCGGCUCAGGCUCCGAUUCCGGCUCAGGCUCUGGAUCCGGCUCAGGCUCCGAUUCCGGCUCAGGCUCUGGAUCUGGCUCAGGCUCUGAUUCCGGCUCAGGCUCUGGAUCUGGCUCAGGCUCUGAUUCCGGCUCAGGCUCUGGAUCUGGUUUGGGAACUGAUGAGUCUGGACCUGACCAGUUUGGUACCGGCUCCGGUGCCGCUCAAGCCAACUCGGCCUCUCGCUACAGUAUUCCUGCUAGUCUCGUCUCUGUAGCACUUGUUGCCUUCCUCUUCUAA